CCCCACUUUUGUAGUUUGUCUCCCCCAUAGCCAUUUAGCCAACCGUGCCUAUGGAAAGGUUCUGUUGAGCUUGUCAGCCAUCUUGGGUAUUAACUGGACAAGAUGAUUGCACAAGGAUUCUUGCUUUAAGGUAACGUUCCGGGCAGCACAGCCAGCCCGCAAUUCCUAGUUCAAGCGGGUGGAAUCUGCCUAUAGGGGCGUUGCUUGCUUGUUGUGGAGUUGGGACACGCCCAAUAUCUCUCAUUGACCGUUUUUCCUACAUGGCCCCAUAGGCAUUCAGGCAAGCGUGCCUAUGGGUAAAGUUGCUCGAGCUUGCCAACACCCAUGUUAAGCUGUAGUCUGGACCGCUGAUGGCACAAGGAUGCAUGUUUUAAGGCAACAUUCCAGCAGCACAGCCAGCCCGUAAUUGCUAGUUCAAGCGGGUGGAAUCUGCUUAUAGGGGUGUUCCUUGCUUGCUGUGGAUUUGGGACACGCCCAAUAUCUAUCAUCGAUCCAACGAAGUUCUCAAUGUGGGUUGCUGAGGGCUAUUUUAGCAUGACGGUUCACUUGUUUGCUUGGCUUUGAAAAAUGUUUAGAUGUCAUGAUGCUUGGGAUCCAAUAAAUUUAUGUGGGAAGCUAAGAGCUGGAACCCAAUGUCAUUCACCAGACGGCUUAGCUUCGUCAGUGUGUAUAAUAUUUCAUUGAACCCCAAUCCUCGAUGCCAACCUGAUUAUGACUUUUGGAUCGCAAUUACCAUGGUUAUCGAAAACUGAGUAGGAGUCAUUAAAUAGGUGAACAAUUUGUAGUCUUUAAUAGCUGUCGGCUUUCGCAUCGCCCGGUGUGUUUUGGGAAUCGCUUUAUGCAAUUGGUUGCCUGCCGUGCCUCUUGGCAUACACGGUGGGUGCCACUUGCUGGUGGUUUUUGGAAACAUCCACCGUAAAGGUGCAUGAGUGGUAUUUGGUUUGUUACGGGUGGUUGGCUCUUUGCUUGCGCAACAACUGCCACCCGACUUACCUCUUCAGAUGUUUGCCUAGGCUUGUAUAGCCUAAGCAAAUUGUGGGUUUCCUGUGUUGCCUACCUAUGUUAUGGAAUUGUCUCGAUCGAUCAAAGCUGCUUUCGUCUUGUGUCAUUUCGAUGGCAUAAGAUGAACCAUGAAGCUGUCCCUUUGCACCACAUCAUUAAUGCAUGUGUUGAUGUUGUGGCCCAUUGAGCAUUGCUUGGUACCAUGGAUACGGAACCUUAUGUGGGCAUGGGUCCUUGGGGAUCCUUGUUCUGCCCUCGGUUAGCGUUCGCGCUUCUCUUAGAAUGACUGCCCAGCUGGAAUGCGAAGCCAUUUUGGAUGGGCAUCGUCAAAGAGGAAUGC
rnacentral:misc_RNA from 1 species